UACGGGGGGAGCAAGCGUUGUUCGGAUUUACUGGGCGUAAAGGGCGCGUAGGCGGUCAGCACAAGUCAGUUGUGAAAUCUCCGGGCUUAACUCGGAAAGGUCAACUGAUACUGUGCGACUAGAGUGCAGAAGGGGCAACUGGAAUUCUCGGUGUAGCGGUGGAAUGCGCAGAUAUCAGGAGGAACACCUAUAGCGAAGGCAGCUCGCUGGGACGACACUGACGCUGAGACGCGAAAGCGUGGGGAGCGAACAGG
rnacentral:rRNA from 1 species